AUGGAGCCGACCUUGAAAUACCACCCUUUAAUGUUUGAUGUUCUAACGUUGACCCGUAAUCCGGGUUGCGGACAGUGUCUGGUGGGUAGUUUGACUGGGGCGGUCUCCUCCUAAAGAGUAACGGAGGAGCACGAAGGUUGGCUAAUCCUGGUCGGACAUCAGGAGGUUAGUGCAAUGGCAUAAGCCAGCUUGACUGCGAGCGUGACGGCGCGAGCAGGUGCGAAAGCAGGUCAUAGUGAUCCGGUGGUUCUGAAUGGAAGGGCCAUCGCUCAACGGAUAAAAGGUACUCCGGGGAUAACAGGCUGAUACCGCCCAAGAGUUCAUAUCGACGGCGGUGUUUGGCACCUCGAUGUCGGCUCAUCACAUCCUGGGGCUGAAGUAGGUCCCAAGGGUAUGGCUGUUCGCCAUUUAAAGUGGUACGCGAGCUGGGUUUAGAACGUCGUGAGACAGUUCGGUCCCUAUCUGCCGUGGGCGCUGGAGAACUGAGGGGGGCUGCUCCUAGUACGAGAGGACCGGAGUGGACGCAUCACUGGUGUUCGGGUUGUCAUGCCAAUGGCACUGCCCGGUAGCUAAAUGCGGAAGAGAUAAGUGCUGAAAGCAUCUAAGCACGAAACUUGCCCCGAGAUGAGUUCUCCCUGACUCC
rnacentral:rRNA from 1 species